rnacentral:rRNA from 1 species
UACGAAGGGGGCUAGCGUUGUUCGGAUUUACUGGGCGUAAAGCGCACGUAGGCGGAUCGAUCAGUCAGGGGUGAAAUCCCAGAGCUCAACUCUGGAACUGCCUUUGAUACUGUCGAUCUGGAGUAUGGAAGAGGUGAGUGGAAUUCCGAGUGUAGAGGUGAAAUUCGUAGAUAUUAGGAAGAACACCGGUGGCGAAGGCGGCUCACUGGUCCGGUACUGACACUGAGGUGCGAAAGCGUGGGGAGCAAACAGG